UGCCAUUACAAGCUUUUCAAAAUUAUUAUAUGCUUGUGUGUGAAUGUUGUAUUUAUAUUUCUGAUGAAUGUGUACGAAUGCAUCUUUAUUUAUUGCACUGCUAAAUAUCUAUAUGUGAUAUUAGUGCUUCGCACAUGUCAUCAUUUUGCAUAAAUGGUGAGACACGUUGUAUGUGAAUGUAUGUUGUGUGGUUCCUCCAUCAGGAGGCUAUCCUAUCGGUGUUUGAUUACUG
rnacentral:lncRNA from 1 species